UGUGUAAAUGAUGAGUUGAUUGUACCGCCCCAGUCUGAUGUUUAAUGACUGAUUGGUAUUUCUCUGAUGCACU